rnacentral:lncRNA from 1 species
GCGCCUUCGCGGCGGGCGAUGUUAGUGGGCUUGGGCGUUGGGUGAAGUAUCCAGGUUGGGCGCUUCCAGCGCUUUCUGUGGCGGGGGAAUGAAGGCCUAGGUCAGGGAAUAGGAAGGUGUAUCGCCGCCAGAGUGCGGAACACCCUCGCCUUGAGGGUUCCCACAGUGACUUGCAAAAGUCUAGUGAGACCCGAGAAUGCUGAGGCGGGACACGAAGCAUGUGGUUCUUGUGGUUGCGACGCUCGUGCCGCCAUCUUGGGUGCUGGCGGCGGAAACCGGUACCCCAACUUCCCCUCGGUGCGAACCUGGAGAAGCCACCCCAGCUGUGAGGGACGGUUGCGCCUCAUGGCCCAGGCAAGGGUACCUUCGCUGGAGCAGUACCGCGGACGGAUAUCAUGAGGGUGGUGGGACGUUGGCGGAACGUUGGCGGAACGUUGGCGGUGUGAGAGGCUGGACUGGAACUCCUGGACUCAAGCGAUCUUUCCAUUUAUCAGGGACUACUGACGCGUGUCUCCCAAUAAAUACCUGAGUAUAAACAACAUGAGGACUAGAAUUUUGUGCGUUAACUGUUAUAACUUAGUAGACACUCAAAUACUGAGUACUUGAAGGGGGACUCAAGCAGGCAGGCCUCUGAUUUUCCUGUUAAAAGCAGAAAUUAACCACACCUUGGAGGAUGUACAGUUUUGAAGGAUAUGGCAUGUUAACAAUAAAAUAGGAGACCAUUCAGUCCCCGAAGUAGUGAGACAAUGAAGAUAAAGACUGGUAUUGUAUAAGAAAGGAGGAAUAUUUAGGUGUGGCCAUCAACUCUAAAAAUAAAUAAGGUUGAGAAGGAAGUAUUUUAAACAUAGAACUGGGCCCGGCGCAGUGGCUCACAGUAGCACCUUGGGAGGCCGAGGCGGGAGGAUUGCUUGACCAGCCUGGGCAGCAUAGUGAGACCCCCGUCGCUACAAAAAAACAAGCUGGGCUUGGUGCCACACAUCUAUAGUCCCAACUACUCAGGAGGCUGAGGUGGGAGGAUUUCUUGAGCUGGGAGAUUGAGGCUGCAGUGAGCUAUGAUGGUGCCAGUCUGGGCAACAGUGAGAUGCUUCCUCAACAAAACAAAACAUAAAAUUGAGAGAUAUAAAGGCUCAACUACAGUGUUUAACUACAAGACAAUUUUGAGAAGGUGAAAAGAGCAUACUAAAGUUGGUCUUUUUUUGACAGAAAAAUACAGAACAAUUUUCAGUCCUAACAGUUCAAACUAAAACUGGACAAUCGUUUAUCUGUGGAGUUUCCUGCUUAGCCAUUUCACAAAGGUGGGCAGAAAAAGGGAAAGAGUUGCAAGGGCCGAAGAGAGUAAAGGUGUAGAGACAAACUCAGUCGCAACAGCAGGCCUAGGCCUGGCAGGGUGUGGGCGCCCAGGAUAUUUGAUGCUCCAUGGAAGGGAGUGGAGACAGAAAGACUGUCUUCCAUUCUGUCUAGAGUUCCAGAUCAAGUCUGAGCAGGUGCAAGCUUUCCCAGAACCUGCUGAUUAACCUUGUAAAACCCAGGGUGUGUCCUUCUUCACCCAGGAAGCCACCCCCUCCUUUCCCCCAACACUCUCCCCCUCCCUUUGCCUGGGACAGCUGUUAAUAGGACAGUUACCCAAGAAGCAAAAGAAGGAUCCCAUGCUGAUGUGUCAUCAGUCCCGGUAUAUCCAUUAAAUCAGACUGAGAAGACCACUGGAAAAAGUGAGCGCAUGCAUGUGGCUCCCUAAGGGAAAGGCUGGCAGCCAUUGUAAAACUAGGCCUUGCCCCUGCGACUCCAGGCUGGGCAGGAGAGAGAAGAAGGCAGUGGAAGCCGAGAAGAGGGUUAGGUCUAAAGCACACGGAUUUGGGGCCAGCUAACUAUAAAACAUACACGGAAAUCCCCACCCCCACCCCAGGAAUAGCAGUGUAGUGUCUACCGACCCAGCUUCCCUGGUAGGAAAAGCUGCUGCUGCCGCCAACAGCCACAUCCAUCCUGCAGUCAUCCCUGGAGGAUGACACAUGCCAGGAAUCCUCAGAGAAGGGGCUGUGGGAGGGCAGGCUGGCUGGGGCUCUGAUUUCUUCUGGAACAGUGAAAUUGCUUUUUCCCUAAAAGGGAAACCCAGGCUUUCUGCCAUUCUGGUUGUCCAUUAUCUUUCCUCUAAAAAUGUCUCUAAGGCCAGGCACAGUGGCUCACACCUGUAACCCCAGCACUUCGAGAGGCCCAGGUGGGCAGAUCACUUGAGCCAGGAGUUUGAGACCAGCCUGGCCAACAUAGUGAAAACCCAUCUCUAC